rnacentral:lncRNA from 1 species
UGCUGGUGGGAGGCGGGACGGCGGGCAGCGGAGUGAGGGGAGCCCGGGGCUCGUGUCCCGCUGCCGGGUGCGUGGGUGCUUCCUCGCUGCAGCUCAGAAAGUUUUGGGAAGUCUCACGUGUAACUUAUCGAAGUUCUGAGAAUCUAGCGCAGCAUCGAUUGCGUUUCAGGUGCAGUAGUACCGGGCCCCUCCUCGCGCCUGGGGCAGCACGUGCGGCGCUCGGCCUGCGCAGCCUCGGCCCGGAGCUGGGCGGGCCGCGUCAUCGCGGGAACGGUCGCGAGGUGUGAGGAGAACGCACGGAGCUUCUCGCGUCCCUGAGGAGAGCUGAGUGAGUGCGCACGAACGGUGGUCAGAAAAAACGCACGUGGAGGUGGUUGAGUGUGACACACCCAGGCUCACGGGUCAGCUAAAGAAAGCAGAAGUUUUCCUGCAGUCUUUUAAAGCAUCUCAACCCUAAUCUGAAGGCACCACCAUCUAGUGGGAUAAGGA